UCUAGUGAAUUUUACAUUCACUAACUUCCAGCAACUAAGCUCUAAAGGACUAAAUUGUUAGUGGCGGACGGGUGAGUAACACGUUGGAACCUGCCCCAAAGUAAGGAAUAACUGCCCGAAAGGGUAGCUAAUACCUUAUAAUAUCCAAUUUAUUUGGAUUAAAGCUUUAUGUGCUUUGGGAGGGGCCUGCGUCUGAUUAGCUAGUUGGUGAGGUAAAAGCUCACCAAGGCGACGAUCAGUAGCUGGUUUGAGAGGACGACCAGCCACACUGGGACUGAGAUACGGCCCAGACUCCUACGGGAGGCAGCAGUAAGGAAUCUUCCACAAUGGGGCAACCCUGAUGGAGCAAUGCCGCGUGCAGGAUGAAGCGUUUCGGCGUGUAAACUGCUUUUAUCACCGAAGAUUAUGACGGUAGGUGAAGAAUAAGGACCGGCUAACUACGUG
rnacentral:rRNA from 1 species